AACCCGCACGCCCUCUUCCCUUCUCCUCUCACGCCGAAGCCCUCUCCCCUUGCCCUAACCGGCGCCACGGCGGUUCCUUCUCCUUCCACGCAUACAAGCCGAAGCCCUAGUGCCAAUUCCUCUUCUUCCUCCUUCCUCGCGACGCCCUAUCUCCACUGUCGCCGGCGAUGCAGACGCCUUCUCUGUUUGUCUCCGCCGUUGAGAUCGGGAACACACCGACGCUGCUCGCCUCUGCCCUAGCGCAAGCAGCCUAACCUCUCCGAUCUCCUCACGCGCGCCGUCGUCGUUCCAACACCAGUCGAUCGCCGGCCACCCCUUACUGUGUCGUGCCCUAGAUUUUAGGUUCACAGUCAUCGCCGACCUAUCUCCUGCUAAUUCCUCUUCUCUGUGAAGUCGAGCCACCGCCUAGUGACGCUCCUCCUCAGCCCUAGCCGACCGCCAUUGUGCGCUGUCUUGUUGACCGUCGCCAAUUCCCUGGUGCUACCGUGCCCUAGAUUGGGUUCCCAAUCAUCUUGUUCAUUGCCGCACCUCUGCACGGUACCGACGCCGCUGCCCUAGUGCCCUCUGCCUUGAUCAAAUCCACGCAACAAUCAAUUUGUGCUAGUAGCCACAGUUCUGGUGUGGAUCAACAAGCACGGCUACGAGUUGGCAAUUUAUUUUGUUGCUAGUGGUGACAAGUCGAUCUCCAGUUGUGCUGUUGACAGAAGCUUUAGAGUUGUACAGAUUUAAAUUGGGACUUUGAUUCGAGACGAGUAUCUCGAUUGUCGGAUUG